UACAGAGGUCUCAAGCGUUGUUCGGAUUCAUUGGGCGUAAAGGGUGCGUAGGCGGCGCGGUAAGUCGGGUGUGAAAUCUCGGAGCUUAACUCCGAAACUGCAUUCGAUACUGCCGUGCUUGAGGACUGGAGAGGAGACUGGAAUUUACGGUGUAGCGGUGAAAUGCGCAGAUAUCAGGAGGAACACCAACGGCGAAGGCAGCACUCUGGGCCGGUACUGACGUGAGGAGCGAAAGCGUGGGGAGCAAACAGG
rnacentral:rRNA from 1 species